UACUUACUCCAUGAAAUGAUAGAUUUUUUUCAUAAUUAUUUAGUUCAUAAAAAUGUAUCUGGUCAUGCUCUUCUAUGCCCAUAUGUUUGUACUUUCUUCCACAAAUGGGAUGAACAUUAGUCUUGAAAAUAAAUAAUGUAGGUUUAAUACCAGCCCACUCCCUAUCUGCAUUGCACUCUUCACGAUUGAAUCAUAUUUUUAUAUCAUCAAGGUACAUCGAACAGAAUGCA
rnacentral:lncRNA from 1 species